rnacentral:rRNA from 1 species
GUGGGUGUAAGGCCCCCGGUAGACGACCGGGUUGAUAGGCCGGAGAUGGAAGCGCGGUAACGUGUGGAGUCGACCGGUACUAAUAGGCCGAGUGGCUUGAACAC